rnacentral:rRNA from 1 species
GACGAACGCUGGCGGCGUGCCUAAUACAUGCAAGUCGAACGCAUUUUCUUUCACCGUAGCUUGCUACACCGAAAGAAAAUGAGUGGCGAACGGGUGAGUAACACGUGGGUAACCUGCCCAUCAGCGGGGGAUAACACUUGGAAACAGGUGCUAAUACCGCAUAAUUCCAUUUACCGCAUGGUAGAUGGGUGAAAGGCGCUUUUGCGUCACUGAUGGAUGGACCCGCGGUGCAUUAGCUAGUUGGUGGGGUAACGGCCUACCAAGGCUGCGAUGCAUAGCCGACCUGAGAGGGUGAUCGGCCACACUGGGACUGAGACACGGCCCAGACUCCUACGGGAGGCAGCAGUAGGGAAUCUUCGGCAAUGGACGCAAGUCUGGCCGAGCAACGCCGCGUGAGUGAAGAAGGGUUUCGGAUCGUAAAACUCUGUUGUUAGAGAAGAACAAGGAUGAGAGUGGAAAGUUCAUCCCUUGACGGUAUCUAACCAGAAAGCCACGGCUAACUACGUG